rnacentral:rRNA from 1 species
AGAGUUUGAUCCUGGCUCAGAGCGAACGCUGGCGGCAGGCCUAACACAUGCAAGUCGAACGAACUCUUCGGAGUUAGUGGCGGACGGGUGAGUAACACGUGGGAACGUGCCUUUUGGUUCGGAAUAACUCAGGGAAACUUGUGCUAAUACCGAAUGUGCCCUUCGGGGGAAAGAUUUAUCGCCAUUAGAGCGGCCCGCGUCUGAUUAGCUAGUUGGUGGGGUAAAGGCCCACCAAGGCUACGAUCAGUAGCUGGUCUGAGAGGAUGACCAGCCACAUUGGGACUGAGACACGGCCCAAACUCCUACGGGAGGCAGCAGUGGGGAAUCUUGCGCAAUGGGCGAAAGCCUGACGCAGCCAUGCCGCGUGUAUGAUGAAGGUCUUAGGAUUGUAAAAUACUUUCACCGGUGAAGAUAAUGACUGUAGCCGGAGAAGAAGCCCCGGCUAACUUCGUGCCAGCAGCCGCGGUAAUACGAAGGGGGCUAGCGUUGCUCGGAAUUACUGGGCGUAAAGGGAGCGUAGGCGGACAUUUAAGUCAGAGGUGAAAUCCCGGAGCUUAACUUCGGAACUGCCUUUGAUACUGGGUGUCUUGAGUGUGAGAGAGGUAUGUGGAACUCCGAGUGUAGAGGUGAAAUUCGUAGAUAUUCGGAAGAACACCAGUGGCGAAGGCGACAUACUGGCUCAUUACUGACGCUGAGGCUCGAAAGCGUGGGGAGCAAACAGGAUUAGAUACCCUGGUAG